GUAGUUCAGGUGGAGGUUCAACAUGACAAUAUAUGAAGAGGGGGAGGGGUAGGGGAGAGUAAGGGAGGAGAGAUAAUAUAUAUCUGUGUAUGUGACUAUUCAAAUGACAAGGUCAGAGACUGUAAAAAGUAAGAUAAGAUCUCUCUUUUUGUAGUCAGUUAACUAAUACCAGAAGGGUUUUGUUUUAGCAGGUAAACAUGGUGUUUCUGACUAAGCCCUUAGUCUUGAACUGUGUAUGGAUGCUCAUGUUGGGGCAUAUCCGUGCACCAGGAUAGAAUCAUACUUGUUACACAGAAAGACCCUCUGUGUUCCCAAUACUCCCUAGCUGGGGAACCACUUGACUGCAGAUUAUAAAUCACAGCUGUUCCAUGCAGAAGGGAGAGCUAGGCUUUGGGCUACAAAAUGUUGAAAACCACAGCACAGAAGCCACCUACAACACUCAACCACCAGCUUGCCACGAAGAUAGUAGAGAAAACAGAAAGGAGGCAGAUGUGGUUGUUGCCCAGUUGGAAACUAUGGCCUAACAAGACUUCAAGUGAGGGUUGUUGUGAGAACCAAGAAAGAGUCGGAUUCUCAACGCCUUUUGGAAUAUUAAAAUUCUAGGAGCCUCUACCGUUUGGUCCCCUCCUUUCUGUUGGACUGCUUUGUCAACUGUUGCCUGCCAGUGAUUCGAGGAUGACCAUCUGCCACCAUCUCUGCUCUGGGGACCUGACAAGAAGGAACCACAUUCUUGCACUGUGAGGAAAGCUUAGUGGUUCUCCUCUACCUUCAUUCCUUCACUGAAAAUUCUUUUGUUGUUGUUACAAGUUUUCUGUAUUCUAGGCACUGUACUAGACAUCAGGAAUCCAUGGAAUUUUAAUCUACAGAGAAGACUGACAUUAAUCAAGUCAUCCUAAAGACAUAUAAAUUACAAAUGAUACAAGUUCUGUGAAGGUCAAGCCCCUGGCACAGCACUCACUAUGCAUCUAGCUUGCUCAGGAAGGUUUGGGAUGUGACCAUAGAGCUGAGUGUGUAGUUUGGGCAGGAAUUAACUAGGUGUAGAGGAGAGUGUAGAAGGUUUUGGUUAGAGAACUAGCUCAUGCAAAACCCUGUGCUCUCUCCACCAAAAUCAUACUGUGGUCUGUGUGUGGAGGUGCGGUGAGGCUGUACAGGUUCCCUUUCAUCAGCUCUGAGUUGGAAUUUGUCACCUGAAUCUUGGAAUCAGUUCUGCCACCUGUGCUUUCUGUCUUCUAUGACCUGUUAGAGCCCUUUAUCUUCUGGAUCUAAUCCCUCAGUAUGCUCCAUUCUGAAAGAAAAGCAGUACAAGGUGUAGGGUAGAGACACACAAAAAGCCAGCAAGUACAUCUUUGUCUUUCUUUCGAGUCAUGAGAGAAUAAAUCUCUUCGUUCCUUCAGACAAGAAAUGCACACCAUCACCACUGAUGUCAGCCUUCCUGUUUAUCAUUUCAAACUUUAGCAAUGUGGAACAUUCAGUUGGGUUUGCUUUUGGGGGCAUUGCCCCUUUAACUGAGGGUGGCAUCUUUAAGAAGUGUCAACUUCUACUACAGAGCCUACUAGAGUCUAUCUUCUUUGUUUGCAUUCCUUGACUUUUAGAUUUGACUUACUUUAUUGUUUAUUUCAUGAUAGUUUCGGUUUUUCUAAAGUUUGGAUUCUCCCCCGAAGAGCACUUCUUGAAAUGCAGCCUUCAGUAACAUUUCUUCUAUUUUGAUCCAUUGCCUUGAACCCCUUUGUCCCUGGAGGCUAUUCUGAAAAUAGUGUCCUAUCUGGACACCCAUCUCUCUAUAUAAUGACCCUCAAAUCAUGAUGUGUUGAAGAGCAGUGUUUUGUCAACUAUUUCUUAAUGAAUUUGUUUGUUGUUGUUCUGGUUUUUAAAAAAAUCACAUACUUGCUUUUGACAAUUGAAAAUAUAGGAAUAAGAAGCAUGAAUAUUAAAGAAAGCCAUACAUGGAGAAAUGAUUGUUAUAAAUAUUUUUGUGUAUUUUCCUCUAAUGUAUGAAUAAAUGUUACAUAUUCACAUGAAUAGACAUAAUAUAUAUUUUUAUCUUGUAUUUUUCAUUUAACAUGUGUAAUAAGCAUUUCCCAUGUUAGUAAAAUUAUUUGUAAGCAUUAUUUUUAAUGGCAACUAAUAUUCUUAUUCUAGUAACCUAAUGUGUCUGUUGUCAUUUGUCAUUUUGGCUACAAUAAAUGUUUUUGUGUUA